rnacentral:rRNA from 1 species
UACGUAGGGGGCUAGCGUUGUCCGGAUUCAUUGGGCGUAAAGCGCGUGUAGGCGGCCAGGUAGGUCCGAUGUGAAAACUCGAGGCUCAACCUCGAGACGUCGAUGGAAACCAUCUGGCUAGAGUCCGGAAGAGGAGAGUGGAAUUCCUGGUGUAGCGGUGAAAUGCGCAGAUAUCUGGAGGAACACCGGUGGCGAAGGCGGCAUCCUGGACCAUUACUGGCGCUGAAUAGCGAAAGCCAGGGGAGCAAACGGG